rnacentral:rRNA from 1 species
UACGUAGGGCGCAAGCGUUAUCCGGAAUUAUUGGGCGUAAAGAGCUCGUAGGCGGUUUGUCGCGUCUGCUGUGAAAACCCGAGGCUCAACCUCGGGCCUGCAGUGGGUACGGGCAGACUAGAGUGCGGUAGGGGAGAUUGGAAUUCCUGGUGUAGCGGUGGAAUGCGCAGAUAUCAGGAGGAACACCGGUGGCGAAGGCGGGUCUCUGGGCCGUAACUGACGCUGAGGAGCGAAAGCAUGGGGAGCGAACAGG